rnacentral:rRNA from 1 species
GGAUGAACGCUGGCGGCGUGCCUAAUACAUGCAAGUCGAGCGAAUGGAUUGAGAGCUUGCUCUCAAGAAGUUAGCGGCGGACGGGUGAGUAACACGUGGGUAACCUGCCCAUAAGACUGGGAUAACUCCGGGAAACCGGGGCUAAUACCGGAUAACAUUUUGAACUGCAUGGUUCGAAAUUGAAAGGCGGCUUCGGCUGUCACUUAUGGAUGGACCCGCGUCGCAUUAGCUAGUUGGUGAGGUAACGGCUCACCAAGGCAACGAUGCGUAGCCGACCUGAGAGGGUGAUCGGCCACACUGGGACUGAGACACGGCCCAGACUCCUACGGGAGGCAGCAGUAGGGAAUCUUCCGCAAUGGACGAAAGUCUGACGGAGCAACGCCGCGUGAGUGAUGAAGGCUUUCGGGUCGUAAAACUCUGUUGUUAGGGAAGAACAAGUGCUAGUUGAAUAAGCUGGCACCUGACGGUACCUAA